GAUGAACGCUGGCGGCGUGCCUAAUACAUGCAAGUCGAGCGAACAGACGAGGAGCUUGCUCCUCUGACGUUAGCGGCGGACGGGUGAGUAACACGUGGAUUACCUACCUAUAAGACUGGGAUAACUUCGGGAAACCGGAGCUAAUACCGGAUAAUAUAUUGAACCGCAUGGUUCAAUAGUGAAAGACGGUUUUGCUGUCACUUAUAGAUGGAUCCGCGCCGCAUUAGCUAGUUGGUAAGGUAACGGCUUACCAAGGCAACGAUGCGUAGCCGACCUGAGAGGGUGAUCGGCCACACUGGAACUGAGACACGGUCCAGACUCCUACGGGAGGCAGCAGUAGGGAAUCUUCCGCAAUGGGCGAAAGCCUGACGGAGCAACGCCGCGUGAGUGAUGAAGGUCUUCGGCUCGUAAAACUCUGUUAUUAGGGAAGAACAAAUGUGUAAGUAACUAUGCACGUCUUGACGGUACCUAAUCAGAAAGCCACGGCUAACUACGUG
rnacentral:rRNA from 1 species